CACCGCCGCGGUAAAACGUAGGGUGCGAGCGUUAAUCGGAAUUACUGGGCGUAAAGCGCGCGCAGGUGGUUUAAUAAGUCUGAUGUGAAAGCCCACGGCUCAACCGUGGAGGGUCAUUGGAAACUGUUAAACUUGAGUGCAGGAGAGAAAAGUGGAAUUCCUAGUGUAGCGGUGAAAUGCGUAGAGAUUAGGAGGAACACCAGUGGCGAAGGCGGCUUUUUGGCCUGUAACUGACACUGAGGCGCGAAAGCGUGGGGAGCAAACAGGAUUAGAUACCCCCGUAGUCCCUGUCUCUUAUACA
rnacentral:rRNA from 1 species